rnacentral:rRNA from 1 species
UACGUAGGUGGCAAGCGUUGUCCGGAAUUAUUGGGCGUAAAGCGCGCGCAGGUGGUUCCUUAAGUCUGAUGUGAAAGCCCACGGCUCAACCGUGGAGGGUCAUUGGAAACUGGGAGACUUGAGUGCAGAAGAGGAAAGUGGAAUUCCAUGUGUAGCGGUGAAAUGCGUAGAUAUCGGCAGGAACACCAGCGGCGAAGGCGGUUCUCUGGACUGUAACUGACACUGAGGCUCGAAAGCGUGGGUAGCAAACAGG